UACGGAGGGGGCUAGCGUUGUUCGGAAUUACUGGGCGUAAAGCGCGCGUAGGCGGACUGGAGAGUUGGGGGUGAAAUCCCGGGGCUCAACCUCGGAACUGCCUCCAAAACUAUCAGUCUGGAGUUCGAGAGAGGUGAGUGGAAUUCCGAGUGUAGAGGUGAAAUUCGUAGAUAUUCGGAGGAACACCAGUGGCGAAGGCGGCUCACUGGCUCGAUACUGACACUGAGGUGCGAAAGCGUGGGGAGCAAACAGGAUUAGAUACCCGGGUAGUCCCUGA
rnacentral:rRNA from 1 species